rnacentral:tRNA from 3 species
UGGAUCGUAGCUUAAUCUGGUUAAAGCGUUGGAUUGUGGCUCCAAAGAAUGCGGGUUCGAAUCCCGUCGGUCCACCCA